GUUGCUUUUGAAGAAGUAUUUGCCGAGCCAGAAGGGAUGCAUAGUUUUGAUGCAAUAUGGAGGUAUGCAUUCAUUACGUUUACUGGUGUCAAGUUCUGGUGUUACCGUAUUACUACAUGUAUCUGUGGCAUACCAUGCGCUGUGUGCUGGGGUAUCGAGUUUGCCUGUUUGACGUUCUGGCACGUCUGGUACGUGGUGCCAUACACUAAAGCCUGGCUCAUAUCUAUCAACUGGUUACAGCGACUAUGGCAGAUAUGGAUAUCCUGUUUUAUGGAUCCCUUAUUUGACUCGUUUAGUAGAAUAUUUUCCAAUAUCAAAGUCACUGUUAACAGGGACUGACCAACUAACAAUUCGAGAGCUGACUAUAUUUCCAAUUUGUUCAUCAUCUCAGGGCUCGCUAAUUGUGUCUUGUUUACGGUUUUAGCGUUAAAACAAAAGGCGAACUCGCUUUCAUUAUAUCAACAAUGAUAAAUCAUGCGACCAAACGCGAGACUCCAUGGAAAUCUUGAUAUUGUUAAAUUCCGAAACGACAUUCAAAAGUUAGGAAUCUAUCAUCCCGUGCCACGAGAUUUAAAAUAUAUUUGUUUACCAUUAUAACACUUGCUAAUAAAUCUAAUAAUUAUAAUGAUAAAUGUUUAAACAUAUAUUCAUUAUAUUUUUCAUAUCUCAGAGGGAUCAUAACGUUUGUCAAAUUCGGUCGAUAAUUUGAACCAUUUUCCGAAAUCCAGCAAUAAUAAACUGGUGUCGUUUUAGAGGCUGAUCAUAACGUGCCAACAUGUACGUAUUUCUGUAUUUUUAAAUGAUGAUAUUCUACUAAUUCAUUGAUAGCACUGGGGUUUUUAAGUCACGUGUCAAAGUAGCAAGAAUGAAUGCGAGUUUUAAUUUGAUUGCGUUGAGCGAUUACUAACUUCGACUUCUUAGAGUCUUUCGAUGCGUUUCAACCAUCCCAGGAAUUACACAACCUCCUCAAGUAUAAACUUAACGUCUAUGAAAUUAGUUAGUAAUGAUUUUAUGAUAAUUAUGAAAGAAACAAAUCUAACAUUAAGCAUGUUAUCAAGAAUUAAAUUACAUUUUACUAGUA
rnacentral:sRNA from 1 species